ACUAGUUAGGUGUUUUAGAGAGAGAAAGAGGUGUUGGAAAGAAUUUCAAAGUUUUAAAGUUAUUAAGGUGAGUAGAAAAUUUGAGUUGAAAUUUUAGUGUUGAGAAUGACUAGAGAUUUGAUUUGAGAAUAUUUUGUAGUUGAGAUUGUUAAUUCACUUUGGAAUGAUAGGAUAGUGAAAAUGGAUAGGCAUUUAAUGGCCAUUUGAAGUAAGCUAAGAGAAAGCUUUUGGACUCUAUAAGUAUGUGAAUUAACAUAAUUGUGAUGUUAAUGUGAUGAUAGGUUCCAACGAAGCCACACCAUCCCAAUUGGACCAUUAAGGAAGUUAGAGUUAGUUAAAGGCUCAAUAAACACCGGUGAGUGGACUUGCAUGUUAAAAAUUGUUUUGGGAAUGUAAACUUAUUUGGACUAUAUACUUGAAUGAUUUUAUUCAACUUUCCUUAAAAACGAG
rnacentral:lncRNA from 1 species